rnacentral:rRNA from 1 species
CGCAUGCGAGUGUGGGAAGGCUUUUUGCGGCAUGGGAUGGGGUCGCGUCCUAUCAGCUUGUUGGUGGGGUAACGGCCUACCAAGGCGUUGACGGGUAGCCGGCCUGAGAGGGCGACCGGCCACAUUGGGACUGAGAUACGGCCCAGACUCCUACGGGAGGCAGCAGUGGGGAAUAUUGCACAAUGGGCGCAAGCCUGAUGCAGCGACGCCGCGUGCGGGAUGGAGGCCUUCGGGUUGUAAACCGCUUUUGUUCAAGGGCAAGGCACGGUCUUUGGCCGUGUUGAGUGGAUUGUUCGAAUAAGCACCGGCUAACUACGUGCCAGCAGCCGCGGUAAUACGUAGGGUGCAAGCGUUAUCCGGAUUUAUUGGGCGUAAAGGGCUCGUAGGCGGUUCGUCGCGUCCGGUGUGAAAGUCCAUCGCUUAACGGUGGAUCCGCGCCGGGUACGGGCGGGCUUGAGUGCGGUAGGGGAGACUGGAAUUCCCGGUGUAACGGUGGAAUGUGUAGAUAUCGGGAAGAACACC